rnacentral:rRNA from 1 species
AUUGAACGCUGGCGGCAUGCCUUACACAUGCAAGUCGAACGGUAACGCGGGGCAACCUGGCGACGAGUGGCGAACGGGUGAGUAAUGUAUCGGAGCGUGCCCAGUUGUGGGGGAUAACUGCUCGAAAGAGCAGCUAAUACCGCAUACGACCUGAGGGUGAAAGCGGGGGAUCGCAAGACCUCGCGCAGUUGGAGCGGCCGAUAUCAGAUUAGGUAGUUGGUGGGGUAAAGGCUCACCAAGCCAACGAUCUGUAGCUGGUCUGAGAGGACGACCAGCCAGACUGGGACUGAGACACGGCCCAGACGCCUACGGGAGGCAGCAGUGGGGAAUUUUGGACAAUGGGCGCAAGCCUGAUCCAGCCAUGCCGCGUGCGGGAAGAAGGCCUUCGGGUUGUAAACCGCUUUUGUCAGGGAAGAAAAGACUCCUGUUAAUACCGGGGGUUCAUGACGGUACCUGAAGAAUAAGCACCGGCUAACUACGUGCCAGCAGCCGCAGUAA